GGACUACAAGGGUAUCUAAUCCCGUUCGCUACCCACGCUUUCAUGUUUCAGUGUCAGGAGUGCUCCAGUCUGCUGCCUUCGCUUUUGGUGUUCCCCAUAAUAUCAACGCAUUUCACCGCUACACUAUGAGUUCCACAGACCUCUCGCAUCCUCAAGUCGCGCCGUUUCCCCCGCAUGUUUCCGGUUGAGCCGAAAAAUUUAACGGAAGACUAACGCGACCACCUACACAUCCUUUACGCCCAAUGAUUCCGGAUAACGCUUGAGGCACUCGUAUUACCGCGGCUGCUGGCAC
rnacentral:rRNA from 1 species